rnacentral:rRNA from 1 species
UGGGUAAUAUUGCACAAUGGGCGAAAGCCUGAUGCAGCAACGCCGCGUGAGUGAAGAAGGUUUUCGGAUUGUAAAGCUCUGUCUUUGGGGACGAUAAUGACGGUACCCGAUGAAUAAGCCACGGCUAACUUCGUGCCAGCAGCCGCGGUAAUACGAAGGUGGCAAGCGUUACUCGGAAUUACUAGGCGUAAAGGGCAGGUAGGUGGUCUGAUAAGUCUGUUGUGUAAGCUCCCGGCUUAACUGGGAGAGGUCAACAGAAACUGUCAGGCUUGAGUAUAGGAGAGGGUACUGGAAUUCCCGGUGUAGCGGUGAAAUGCGCAGAGAUCGGGAGGAACACCAAUGGCGAAAGCAGGUACCUGGACUAUUACUGACACUCAGCUGCGAAAGCUAGGGGAGCAAACAGG